UAAUCAUUGUUUUAAAUCAAACCUGUUAUGAUUUAAGAUAAUGAAAGCACCGCACACCACGUUACCUGCUGAGCUGGACUCCGGGUUCCGUGGUUCUUUU
rfam:Streptococcus mutans TA159, complete genome.